AAGUCGUAACAAGGUCUCCGUUGGUGAACCAGCGGAGGGAUCAUUAAAAAACGGAGUAUUCGUACUCUUCAACCCUUUGUGAACAUACCAUUGUCUGUUGCUUCGGCGGGAGCCCUGGGAGGGGCCCGGGGCCCGGUCCUGAGCCGGGCUCCCGCCGGAGGAGCGCAAAACCGAAACUAUUGUUGCAUCUCAGUGGAAAAUCCGAGUCAAAACAAAUAAAACAAGUUAAAA
rnacentral:misc_RNA from 1 species